rnacentral:pre_miRNA from 1 species
UAAAGUGCUGACAGUGCAGGUAGCUAGCGUCUGGUUGCUACUGCAGUGUGGGGGCUUGCAGC